rnacentral:ncRNA from 2 species
CCCGUAGGUGAACCUGCGGAAGGAUCAUUA